GGGACGAACGCUGGCGGCGCGCCUAAGACAUGCAAGUCGAACGAGAAGCCCGGGCUUGCCCGGGUGGACAGUGGCGAACGGGUGAGUAACACGUGAGGAACCUGCCCCGAAGACCGGGACAACAUCGGGAAACCGUUGCUAAUACCGGAUGCCCUCGAAGAAUCGCAUGGUUCAUCGAGGAAAUGGAUUCCGCUUCGGGAUGGCCUCGCGGCCUAUCAGCUUGUUGGUGAGGUAAUGGCUCACCAAGGCAUCGACGGGUAGCUGGUCUGAGAGGAUGUCCAGCCACACUGGGACUGAGACACGGCCCAGACUCCUACGGGAGGCAGCAGUUAGGAAUCUUGCGCAAUGGACGAAAGUCUGACGCAGCGACGCCGCGUGCGGGAUGAAGGCCCUCGGGUUGUAAACCGCUUUCAGCAGGGACGAAAUUGACGGUACCUGCAGAAGAAGCCCGGCAACUACGUGCCAGCAGCCGC
rnacentral:rRNA from 1 species